GACAGAGGGUGCAAACGUUGCUCGGAAUCACUGGGCGUAAAGGGCGUGUAGGCGGGAAUGUAAGUCGGGGCGUGAAAUCCCUAGGCUCAACCUAGGAACUGCACUCGAACUGCGUUUCUUGAGUACUGGAGAGGAAAGCGGAAUACCUGGUGUAGAGGUGAAAUUCGUAGAUAUCAGGUGGAACACCAGCGGCGAAGGCGGCUUUCUGGACAGUAACUGACGCUGAGACGGCG
rnacentral:rRNA from 1 species